rnacentral:rRNA from 1 species
GACGAACGCUGGCGGCGUGCCUAAUACAUGCAAGUCGAACGCAGUGGCGGACGGGUGAGUAACACGUGGGUGACCUGCCCUGCACUUCGGGAUAAGCCUGGGAAACUGGGUCUAAUACCGGAUAGUGUGGGAUGGGCCCGCGGCCUAUCGGCUUGUUGGUGGGGUAAUGGCCUACCAAGGCGGCGACGGGUAGCCGGCCUGGGAGGGUGGACGGCCACAAUGGGACUCAGACACGGACCAGACUCGUACGUGGGGCAGCGGGGGGGAAUAUUGCACAAUGGGCGGAAGCCUGAUGCAGCGACGCUGCGGGGGGGAUGACGGCCUUCGGGUUGUGAACUCCUUUCACCAUCGACGCGGUAGAUGGAGAAGAAGCACCGGCUAACUACGUGCCAGCAGCCGCGGUAAUAC